rnacentral:rRNA from 1 species
GAUGAACGCUGGCGGCGUGCCUAAUACAUGCAAGUCGAGCGAACAGACGAGGAGCAUGCUCCUCUGAUGUUAGCGGCGGACGGGUGAGUAACACGUGGAUAACCUACCUAUAAGACUGGGAUAACUUCGGGAAACCGGAGCUAAUACCGGAUAACAUGUUGAACCGCAUGGUUCAACAGUGAAAGACGGUCUUGCUGUCACUUAUAGAUGGAUCCGCGCCGCAUUAGCUAGUUGGUAAGGUAACGGCUUACCAAGGCAACGAUGCGUAGCCGACCUGAGAGGGUGAUCGGCCACACUGGAACUGAGACACGGUCCAGACUCCUACGGGAGGCAGCAGUAGGGAAUCUUCCGCAAUGGGCGAAAGCCUGACGGAGCAACGCCGCGUGAGUGAAGAAGGUCUUCGGAUCGUAAAACUCUGUUAUUAGGGAAGAACAAAUGUGUAAGUAACUAUGCACGUCUUGACGGUACCUAAUCAGAAAGCCACGGCUAACUACGUG